GUAGGGAAUAUUGUACAAUGGAGGAAACUCUGAUGCAGCGACGCCGCGUGAGUGAUGAAGGCCUUCGGGUCGUAAAACUCUGUGAUAAGGGAAGAUGAUGACGGUACCUUAUCAGAAAAGACCGGCUAACUUCGUGCCAGCAGCCGCGGUAAUACGAGGGGUCUAAGCGUUGUUCGGAAUCACUGGGCGUAAAGCGGGUGUAGGUGGCUAUGCAAGUUGGAUGUGAAAGCCCCGGGCUCAACCCGGGAAGUGCAUCCAAAACUACGUAGCUUGAGUGCGGGAGAGAAAGGCAGAAUUCCUGGUGUAGUGGUGAAAUACGUAGAUAUCAGGAGGAACUCCGGUGGCGAAGGCGGCCUUUUGGCCCAGCACUGACACUCAGACCCGAAAGCGUGGGUAGCAAACAGGAUUAGAUACCCCGGUAGUCC
rnacentral:rRNA from 1 species